rnacentral:rRNA from 1 species
CCUACGGGUGGCAGCAGUGGGGAAUAUUGGACAAUGGGCGAAAGCCUGAUCCAGCCAUGCCGCGUGUGUGAAGAAGGCCUUCGGGUUGUAAAGCACUUUCAGUGGGGAAGAAAGCCUUGGGGCUAAUACCCUCGAGGAAGGACAUCACCCACAGAAGUAGCACCGGCUAACUCCGUGCCAGCAGCCGCGGUAAUACGGAGGGUGCGAGCGUUAAUCGGAAUUACUGGGCGUAAAGCGCGCGUAGGCGGUCUGAUAAGCCGGUUGUGAAAGCCCCGGGCUCAACCUGGGAACGGCAUCCGGAACUGUCAGGCUAGAGUGCAGGAGAGGAAGGUAGAAUUCCCGGUGUAGCGGUGAAAUGCGUAGAGAUCGGGAGGAAUACCAGUGGCGAAGGCGGCCUUCUGGACUGACACUGACGCUGAGGUGCGAAAGCGUGGGUAGCAAACAGGAUUAGAUACCCUUGUAGUC